CUCACUCUCCACUCCCUCACACUCUCCCCCUGCCCUCCACCACGAGCUGCUGCUCCUCCUAGCAACCAUGGCCGGCCAUGGCCAUGAAUAUCCACCAAGAUGAAGCUCCCCUCCUCCCUCAAGCUCCUCCUCACCAUGAGAGCCUCCCUCUCCAUCUUCUCCCCAACCCUAGAUGGUUUAAUCUCCUCUUCUUCUUCCUCCAUUGCUAAGAUUGGAUCUUGAUGCAGGUGCAUGUUGGUCCAAGCAUGGAGAAGCUUGAGCAAUCCUCAGAUCUGAAGUUCUUGAGCAAAAUGCAAAUCGAGUGAUUCAAAGUUCCGCGGAUAGGUAUUCAAAGGAUCUACAACUUGGCGUUGGUCUCAUCCUCAAAUUCGUUACAGAUUCUCCCUGAUCAAGAUCUGGACAGAUCUAGCUUUGUCGAAUUAAACCAGGAGCUUGGGAACGAAUUUUUGAAUGAAACAAAUUGGGGGAUAUUUGGUUUAUACCAUGGUGAUAACCGAGAGAGGCAAUUGCUAAGCAUGGUACUCUCAUACCUUUAUUAGAUGCGAACAAUUACGGAGAAGAAGAAGAAGUGGAUUGGACAAGGUUUUUAUUUAUAUUGUUGGAAUUCUUUUGAUGGAGUUGAAGAAGUCCAGGGAAAAAAAAAGCCAACCAAGGCAAGCCAUCUCUUGAUCUCUAAAUGUUGAAUCACAUACUGUGGUUACUUUGUUGUUAUUAUUGUCUCUCAAUUUAUCUUGUGUUGUUUCUACUUUUGUUGUUGGAGCAUGCUCACCGUGAGCAUGUUUAGUCUCUUUGGCACCUCACCGACAACCCCCUUUAGUGACAUGGUGGUUGUCAUCAUCAUGAUCUCGGUGUACCCUCUAAGUGUGAUGGGUAUGCCCACUUACCUUGAGUGUGUCGACCUCUCGACACCCUUUUUGCACCCCUUCGUGGUAUGAUAGUUAGUAUCGUGCCCUUGUUAUAUCUUCUACUUUGAGUUAUGCUAUGCAUACUUACUCCCAAGUGGGCCGAACCUCUUGUUGAUGCUAUACAUACUUACUCUCAAGUAUGUUGCACCCUUGUUGAUGUUCUGCAUACUUACUCUCGAGUAUGUUGAACCCCUUGUUGAUCUUAUGCAUGCUUACCCUAAGCAUGUAUGCCCCCCCUUUG